rnacentral:rRNA from 1 species
AUGGCGGAGGCAGGCGGCGCUGGUCGAAACGGCGAGGAAGAGGACGGGGAGGAGGAGCGCGGAGGGGGAGCGGCCGCGGCGGAGGUGCAAGUGUACCGCGCGGUGGGAAAGGAGGCGGGGAGGGAGUGGAGGGCCAACCUGCGGUGGGUGCUGGCCAACUUCCCCCGGAGCCGCCACCGCCUCGUCCUCGCCCACGUCCACCGCCCGCCGCACCGCAUCAACAUGAUGGGGGCGUGGGUCCCAGUGAGCCAACUUGCGGAGCAUGAGGUGGCUGCGUACAGCAAGCUGGAGGAGGAAAGGGCCAGCAAGCACCUCGACGUCCUCAUCGACAUCUGCGCAAGUCAAAGGGUCCACGCGCGCAAGGUCAUCGUGUCGGGGGACGACGCCGCGAGGGGCCUGGUCCAGCUCGUCGACGACCAUGGCGUUGCCGAGCUCGUCAUGGGCGCCACCGCUGACCGCGGAUACACCAGGAAGUUGCGGACGCCGAAGUCUAAGAAGGCGGUGACGGUGCAGCGGAAGGCCAACCCCUCCUGCAGGAUCUGGUUCGUCUGCAAAGGAAACCUCAUCUGCACUAGGGAGGUCAGCGAAGAGCUGAACAGAGGAGAGCCAUCCAUGGCUAGCAGCAGCCCCAGAUCCGUCGCUUCCGACUACUCGAGAUCGAAAUCGUCCCCGCCGCGCCUAAAGCUCCACGGGGACGGGGACGGGGACGGCGAGCUGUUGGGGAUGCACCACGACUCGCCCGAUCCGAUGAUGGCGCCGUCGCUCCGCCGGACUCCGAGCAGGGACGACAGCGACAAUGCUACGGAUCACAGCGUCGAGGAUUUCGGUCAUGAGGGUGCUGCUGAAGUUGGGUCGUCGGCUGUCGUGCAGUUACUGCAAGAUGUCGAAGAAGACCCGCCCACGCCUUUGCACGAUGGUUCGGAGGAGGCUGGCGACAUGGAAGAUGCUUUGUACGAGAAGCUCAAGGACGCGAUUAUGGAGGCCGGGAGCCUCAGGCACGAGGCGUACGAAGAGACUCACCGGCGGCAGAAGGCCGACCGGGACCUGGCCGAUGCGUCCAUGAUGGCGAGGGACGCAGAGAGCUCGUACCAUGGCGAGGCGAGGCGCCGGAAGGAGAUGGAGGAGAAUCUGGCCAGGGAGCGCGCGGCCAUGGAGCAGGAAAGGCGGGAACUCGACGUCAUUCUCGCGAAGAUACGGGAGGUUGAUGACCGCAGCGCCGAGCUCGAGCUCCAGAUCACCGACUCAGGGCGCGUGAUGAGCGAGCUCGAUGUCAGGAUGUCGGAGCGGGAGCGCCGAGGAGAAGGGCCUGCAGCUGGCGAAGCAUCCAUGCCUACGGUGGACGGUGGUGAUCAAAGUGUGAGUUUCUUGCGGCUUGGUUUGUCGGAGCUGGAGGAGGCGACCGAUCGUUUCGACGAGUCUGCCAUGGUAGGAGGCGCCGGUGCCGACAGCCGCGGCCGCGUGUACAGAGGGAGCCUCCGCGGCAUGAGCGUCGCCGUCAAGAUGAUCUGCCCCGACGUCGCCGUCCACGAGGCGCGGUUCAGUCGUGCAGUGGACGCCAUCGCCAGGGCGAGGCACCCACACAUCGUCGCGCUCGUCGGCGCGUGCCCGGAGGCGCGCGCCGUGGUGCACGAGCUCGUGUCGGGCGGGAGCUUGGAGGACCGUCUUGGAGGAGAGGCGCCGCCACUGCCGUGGCACGCACGGUGCGGCAUCGCGUACCGAACCUGCUCCGCCCUGGCCUACCUCCACUCGACGGCAAUGGUGCAUGGCGACGUCCGUCCAGCGAAUAUCCUCCUGGAAGACGAGCGGUGCUCCUCGAGCAAGCUGGCCGGCCUCGGCAUGCCUGGUCUCGUGGGGCCGCCACAGCUCCCCAGCGGCGUGGCGCUGGCGUAUGUGGAGCCGCAGUACCUGACGACGGGGGAGCUGACCCCGCAGUGCGAUGUGCAUGCGCUUGGCGUGGUCCUCCUCCGCCUGGUCACGGGCAUGCCGGUUGCGCUGCUCGGGCUGAAAUGCUGCGACGCGGUCGAAACCGGAGGGCCACGUCGCCCGGUCGAGCUUCUGGAUGAGGCGCUGAGCGUGCUGGAGGCCGCGACGGACGCCACGCCGGGGAGGAUGUGGUCGUCGCUCUCGGCGUCGACGGCGUCCGACAGCGGCGGCGCUCCGUCCUACUUCCUCUGCCCGAUACUCAAGGAGGUGAUGAGGGAUCCGCAGAUCGCCGGCGACGGGUUCACCUACGAGGCGGAGGCGAUGAAGGAGUGGCUCGGGAGCGGACACGACACGUCGCCGAUGACCAACCUCAAGCUUCCCACAGAUGAGCUCAUGCCCAACCACGCACUCCGCGCCGCCAUACAAGAGUGGCGACACACGAGGCCUAUCACCUUCCAUCGGUACCAAUGA